rnacentral:piRNA from 4 species
UGGUAGUGGGGGACUGCGUUCGCG